UUUAUCUCUAAAUUAUUCUAACAUGUUUCUCUUAGUGAAUUUUUGCAUCCACUGUUAUUUUUUUUAUCACAUGCGUCUUUGUCUUCAUUUUUCUAUUUGUUUUUUUCUUGAUUUCUGCAAAUUAUCGUUACAAUCUAUUCUUGGUCCAGCCAAUUUAUCAUAUGCAUACUGAAUCAUUACCCGAGGUAACAAAAUAAUAAUUAUUUUUAUUAUAUUUUUAUAAUGUUUAUUUUAUUUUAAAAUUAUAUUUAUAUGAGAUAUUUAAAUAUUCAGGGCAUGCGAUUAUUCACUGUGGUCGGCAUGGAGCUAGAGCUACUACAACUAGAAAUAAAGUCAAUUUGUUGAUUUGAUGCAGACAGUUUUAUUUUCGGACUAAAGUAAAUUUAUUGAAUUUGAAAAGGUUUUUUUUUUUAUAAUUUUUUUUGUUAUAGUUUUGUGUUUAGAUAGAUGAGAAAACAUAUUUACUAGCCGGUGUGGUGAAUGUCAACGGGAGAAGAAAAAACAAAGGCAAAAGCGUUAAAGCCUCCAAACAGCUACUAAAAAGAGAAUUAUCAGACUUAAAAACCAAAACCACAGGAAAUAGUAAUAUAUAUUUUUACUAUUAGGCUGGAGGGAGUAGCUUGUUGGCCAAGCUUGCCUCCAGCUCGCUAAGGACGCCAACUCCACUCCCUAAGAUGUUCUAAGCAACUUACCAGGAAAAAAGAGGGGAUUUUUUUGCACAUGUGUGAUUCAUGCGGCUGCUAUUUAUGGACCCGGAGAAGAAAGAUACAUCAGUCUUUCAAAGAAACCAACUUAUAUCAAAUGGGUCAUUAAUUGAUUUUAGAUUAAUCACAUUCUCCUUUUUAAGGCAAAUGUGUAAUGAUUAUGUAAUUGUGCAUAUGAAAGUACAUACCUGAGUUAGACAAAACAUAACAGUACAUUUCCAUUUUAGACAUCACCAACCCCUCUGCCCCAUGUGAAGCAUGGGUUUCUUUCUAGUUUCUAUUUAAUUUGCUAAAAGCCUAUUGCGAUUUCCUCGUAGGCAUUUAGAAAUUAAAUGGAAAAUAGCUUCAAGUCUUCAACAACGAAAUGUUUAAUGUUGUUGUUGUUGUUUUUUUUUUUUUUUUUUUAGUUUUAAUGUUUAAAGUGAGUCGAAUUCUGUGACGAGAUGUCUGGAGAGGCCGAUCUAUAGACGACAUUCUAAAAUGAUAGUGCGAAACUUUUAGUGACCACUAUUUGGAUAAAACCGAAUUGUUCGGUUGGACAAAAUGGAUUGGACUAUUUGUUUCAGAUAUUCUAAUUUUUGGAUUGGUUUUCAACAAAACCGA